ACUCAAAGGAAUUGACGGGGACCCGCACAAGCAGAGGAGGAUGUGGUUUAAUAUGACGCUACGCGUAGAACCUUACCGAGGCUUGACAUCCUUGGAACCCGCUGGAAACAGUGGGGUGCCGCAAGGAGCCAAGUGACAGGUGCUGCAUGGCCGUCGUCAGCUCGUGUCGUGAGAUGUUGGGUUAAGUCCCGCAACGAGCGCAACCCUUAUCGUAUGUUGUAUUUUUCAUGCGAGACUGCCCGGGCCAACCGGGAGGAAGGUGGGGAUGACGUCAGGUCGGCAUGGCCCUUACGCCUCGGGCCACACACGUCCUACAAUGGCCGGUACAACGCGUUGCCAACCCGCGAGGGGGAGCUAAUCGCAUCAAAACCGGUCCCAGUUCGGAUUGCAGGCUGCAACUCGCCUGCAUGAAGUCGGAUUUGCUAGUAAACGUGGGUCAGCACACCACGUUGAAUACGUUCCCGGGUCUUGUACACACCGCCCGU
rnacentral:rRNA from 1 species